rnacentral:tRNA from 1 species
UCCCUGGUGGCUCAGACAGUAAAGAGUCUGCCUGCAGUGCAGGAGACCCGGGUUCGAUCCCUGGGUGGGGAA